rnacentral:ncRNA from 1 species
GAAAAUUCGCAGAAGGGAAUAAGUAAUCACUGACAGAAUUUACAGAGAAGCAGCGGCUGGUGAGAGGUGCUAAGGAAGUCAGCGGAUGAAAUCAUCCUGGAGAAGCAAGCUGAAAAAAGUAAGCAAGCCGGAGUUGAGCCACGAUAUAGGUGAUACGCAUUGACAGAUGCGGUUAGAGUGCCGGACUAUACCAGGGUAUAGCCGGAAGUAAGGUGGUACCGCGACAAAAGUCGUCCUUUUU